ensembl:lncRNA
AUAAUUUUUAGUAAUAGAAACACAAACAUCACUCCAAUGCAGUUAUGAAUUUUUCUUUAUGUAUUAUGUAAUACUGUUUAUAUUUUUCUCAGUUUUUAGUAUGACACAGAUAUGAAACUAAAAGGCAAGGUGGUGUGGUGAAAUGAGCAGUGGUCUUGGAGACGUGGCUUCUAAUCCUCUGUGAUCUUGGACGUAUCACUCAGCCAAUCUGAACCCCAGUCCUUAUCUGCAGAAUGAUAGGGGUAAAGCCAGCUGGUAACUGUGUAGUCUCCUCUACUCCCAUCUUCCCAGCUCCAAAGGUUUACAGUUUUUUUCACAAAAGUAAUGCAAAAUAAAACAUGCAGUGACUCUCAGAGUAGACAAGUGAUAGGUUACAAGUCUUGGAUGAGUGAAGAUGAGAAGAUUUCUUGAAGAGAAGCAGCUUUAAGCCUGUUCUUGGAGGAGGUGAUAGUCCUGAAUAGAAGGAAUGAAGUAUGGAAUGCUAUGCAAGGAAGGGGUGAAGAGGACCAUAAAUAAGAAUUUGGGGGAGGGAGCAUGGCAAGGAGAAUAGCCUGGCUGAAAAUAUGAAUGUGUUAGAGUGGGGCUGGGGGUGAACUGAAGAUAUAGUUUGAUAGGUAGAGGGUAAGAAAACAUUAAUGAUAGACUACCACACUUAGGCCAUAUUUCAUCCAAAAGGAUCCCAAUAGGAAGCCAAUUAUGGUUUUUUUCUAUGGGCAAGUGACAUCAUGAAAAUCUGUUAGUCAUUGUGAAAAGAAAUCUGAUUAGAUCAUAGCACUUGAUGUGACCUUACCCUUUUUAAGUCGCUGAACUUCUAAAGUCUAAAUGCUCCAUAAAUAAUCUUCCAAAUAUGUUAGUUAUCUGAAUUCUAUACCCAUUUCAAGGAAGAAGAAAGAGUUUUACAUGGUAAUGGGGAAAAGGAUGAGGAUGUGGGAAGAAUCAAUAGUUUGAAAGAAUUGAAAGAGAGCCCUCAGUUCUCUGCUUUAUUUUAUUUUAUUUUUUUAAAUCUAGGAUAAAUAUGUAGGUAAGACAUGAGUCAGAGCAAACUCAGAAAGUACCUAGAAGCCUUCAGCAUUUGAAGCAGGCUCGCUAGUUUCAUGUGGGUGAAGUUUGGUUUUCAGGAAGACAAAUUGAAAAUAGAACUUGUUUGUUUAGAUUUUGCCAUUCUCUAGGGACGUCCAAGGAUGUUCAAUGAACUGAGAGGGGAAGAAUUGGUUCUUGGGAACUGCUGCAGGGAGCCUUGUUUGGAGAGAGUAUGGCCCUGGAGUGGACCCUCAGCACAUUGCAGUUUUUCUCUGGACCUAGUCUGGGAAGACAUGGUCUUAGCAAAGGAUAAGUAUAAUAAUUUUUACCCCUGGAACUUCAUCAGAACAUUGAUGCCACUACUAUGUCUCCUUAGACUCCUCUGUCCAGUGACCCAUGCACAGAACAAUAAGAACAUUUUUAUUAAUAUUUGGUUAUGCUAAGGACACCAUCAUCUAUCUUCACACUGUUUUCCAACGUGAUCUCCAAAGCGCAAAUAGAGUUAGAAGACCUCGUUCCAGGCUGGGCUCAUCCAGGUGCCUACCAUGGAAGGUUUAAGUUGCUGUGGUUAUUUCCACAUUGGCCAAUCUGAGAUAGCUGGACCCAAAUUAAAAUCAGAUGAGAUGAUGUGCAUGACUACGUGACACUGCUGGCAAACUGUAGACUCCUACACCCAGGUCCAUAACACUGGCUUGUCGAAGAGUGCCCAGAACUACCCAACUUGACUAAAAUCAUCUAGGUCCUGGUCCUCUUCACCAGCCUAUUUUUUAAAAGGGAUGCAUGAAUAUAUGUGUGUGUGUGUGUGGUAGAGAGAGGUGGGCUGUGACGUUAUGAUGAAGAAAUGAGUGGGAGCAGGAAGGAAAGAAAUGAGAGGGGACAGUAGUACAGACUAAGGUGGGAGAGGGUGGGCAGGAGGCCUCCAGGAGUCCUGAUGUGGUCCAGGCCUCCUUGCGGGAGGAUGCUCCUUUCUGGCAUGAGGCCUGAGCUGCCAUAACUUGCGCCUGUUCCCUGCUGACGUGUGAAGAUCUCUGCUGGGAGAAUGAGGUAUCAUUCUAGAGAGUUUCAAGAGAAUAUGGUGAAUUCAUGUCCAAAGGCUAGCUGCCUCCCGCUGUCCUCUGCCAGAGUCCUUUAUUGACUCCCUGGAUCCUCUUGUUUAAUUGUUAAUUCAAGCAACAUUUAUUGAGUCUCUCCUCUAUGCUCGGCAUUGUGCUCAGUCCAGGGGAAAUGAGACAAAUAUGAUGCUGUCCCAGCCAUCAAGCUAUUUACUGUUAAUAGUGGGUAAGAAUGUGGAAAUAAUAACUGGACGUGGGCAUAAUAAGUGUGUUAACUGUUAUAGCAGAGAGGACGCACAGAGAGCUAUGAUGGUGACUAACAAUGCAAAGGGAAGCGGGGCAGACAUUGGAGGAUAGGUAGGAGUUUGCCAGACAGAAGGAUUUUGAACCGAGAGGCUCAAAAAUGCAUGAGAGAUUCAGAGGAAAGUGAGUAAUCGGUUUUGGCUGAAAUAUAGAGUGAGGGCAAAGGGACAGAGGCAAAUCUGAAAAGACCAGGCAGGGUUGGGUUGUAAAUGGCAUUUUGUGUCACACUAAGGAGUUUGUACUCUGUCCGGCUGGCAAGAAAAGGCUGGGGAAGAUGAGAGCAG